AAAAAAUGCCGUGUCACGCUAGUGAUACUAUGUAUUAAUAUAAACAGAAAAUAAAAACGCACUUAAUCUGAUAUAAAUUCUUCACUUUCCAAUAUUGAUUAUCAGUUUGAUUUUGUAUACAUAACCUCACUAUCGCAGUUUAUGUCAAUAAAUCUUUAUUAACGAAAAAGAAAAUAUUUUUGUUGCACUAUAAAUUACAGUAUAAAUUAAUAACUAAUGAAUUCUAACAAUUGUAUUCGGUUAUUAUCACUACAAAAUAAAAUAUUCAAGUUUAACAAAAUAAUCCCAUAAGACUCAAUGUUAAAACGUCCUUACAAAAUCUGACAGCGUGUCAUGUGACUGUAAGUAGAGGCACAGUAUAGGAGGAAUCAGUAAGCUCACUCCCCGAAAAAUGCAUUGUUUUCAAUGUUCCAAUUUGGCGAAUCUGCGCAAAGUCGUCCAAAAUUCGUUUCACCGUGCGCAUCCGAUGAGAGCGGAUACGUUUGCCGAUUGGUCGUGACUAUGGGUCGUGACCGCCAUCUGAUUUUCAUGAAUUUUGUGAGGUUGUGUUUGGGAAUUGUUUGUUGUUUUGGUUAAUUUACCAAUUUAUUUUCAUACAUUUUUCAUAUUAAUAAUAGGUAGUUAUGUAUAUUAUGUACUGUGAAUGUGAUAUUAUUUUCUUAAAUCAAUCAAAUGGAGAUGAAGCAAGCAGAAAACAAUUUUUACAAGGAACAAUGUAAAAUUAAAAUCGAAAGUUCUGGACAACCUGUGUGAUGCUGUAAUAAUUAUGUUCCUAUUCUGUUAAAACUGAGAUAGAGAGUCUUUAAAACUGAUAAAAAUAGUUAUUUCUAUGAUGGAAAUUCUUUGGACCAAAUAAAUAGAGAAGUUAUUAUUGAAGACAUCAAAUAAAAGGAGGAAAAUUUAUGUGAAAAAUGAUUUUCAUAAUAAAAGAAGAACUGACGUUAUUAUGAAACCAGUGUAUGGACAGUGUGUUUUACUGACUUAAAGCAAGAGUACCUUUUAUACUUGAAUUUGUCACAUUUUUUAAUUUCAUAAUUUUAUUUAUGUAAGUUGUGAUUGUAAAAAUAUUGUUAAGUUGUAUUCAUAGUUCUCUACUUGUUCUUUUGAAGUACUGUUUUUAUUAUAAUUGGUAUUGUAAAGUUGAAAUCCUCAAAUCAAAAUAUAAUUUAUAAUUCGAA